CGAAUCACCUGGGGGAAGAUGCACGCAAAUAUCUUUAAUAAGGAGAACUGUAUAAGGCACAACUAUCAACAUAAUCAUCUGGAUUGUUCUGUAUGCAUGAUACCAGGCAGUCCUACUACAUUGACUGGAAUGUACGGGUCGCCAGUGAUCACAGCACGGCAUGAGAAGCUUGAGCUCUUGCUGAUGAAGAGUGACUUCAUCUUCUGCUGCCAUUGUUUUGCUGCAGGCUGAUUUCCAAAGGUCACAUCUCGAGGACCCUUUAAAAGAUGCACGACCAUAGAUGCCACAUUAUCAAUGUACAGUUGUGAUCAGUGUGUACUUCAUUGACAUGUUAAACUAGGGAUUUACCUGUGCUGUUCCUGAAAGCUUGAUGUAGUCAGCGAUGGCUGCCUGAAGAUCUUCUGCUUCCACUUCAUGUUCUUGAGAGGUUGGAGGGCCAACCCUUGAGCUGUUUAUUUCGUGUACCAUGCGUAGGACUUUCCUUAACAAGCUUGUGGAGGCAUCCUAAAGAAGGAAGAACAAAGUCAAGAGUUAGGGUGAGAAGAAGGAACUUCUUAUGCGAAGAAAAUAUUUUGUCACAAGGUACUUACAGGAGAGCACAAUAGUGCUUCAUCUAGAACAUUGAAAGUGCGAAGGCAGUUUGGUGGAACAGAGAGGUUGCUCAUCACAAAUCCAUCCUGGGGAAUAUAUCCCCUAACAGCAAGUUGCCUUUUUGUUUCUCUAGGGAUCUUUGUCAUUAUUUUCUGAACCUAAGAAACAGAAGAUCAAAAUGUUAGUAUCUCUAGUACCUGUUUUUGAAGUAUCUUUUAAUUUUUCAUAUUGCAAUCAUUUUCUAAUGAAAAGUACAGCAACAAUGUUCUGGAGCUUU